rnacentral:rRNA from 1 species
GACGAACCGUCCUAACGUUGUUCGGAAUCACUGGGCUUAAAGGGCGCGUAGGCGGACCACCAAGUCCGGGGUGAAAUCUUUCGGCUUAACCGGAAAAGUGCCUUGGAUACUGGUGGUCUCGAGUGAGGUAGGGGCAUGUGGAACUUCUGGUGGAGCGGUGAAAUGCGUUUGAUAUCAGAAGGAACUCCGGUGGCGAAAGCGACGUGCUGGACCUCUUCUGACGCUGAGGCGCGAAAGCCAGGGGAGCAAACGGG